rnacentral:rRNA from 1 species
UAGGGAAUCUUCGGCAAUGGGGGGAACCCUGACCGAGCAACGCCGCGUGAGUGAAGAAGGUUUUCGGUUCGUAAAACUCUGUUGUUAGAGAAGAACAGCGCAUAGAGUAACUGUUAUGCGUGUGACGGUAUCUAACCAGAAAGCCACGGCUAACUACGUGCCAGCAGCCGCGGUAAUACGUAGGUGGCAAGCGUUGUCCGGAUUUAUUGGGCGUAAAGCGAGCGCAGGCGGUCAAUUAAGUCUGAUGUGAAAGCCCCCGGCUCAACCGGGGAGGGUCAUUGGAAACUGGUUGACUUGAGUGCAGAAGAGGAGAGUGGAAUUCCAUGUGUAGCGGUGAAAUGCGUAGAUAUAUGGAGGAACACCAGUGGCCAAGGCGACUCUCUGGUCUGUAACUGACGCUGAGGCUCGAAAGCGUGGGUAGCAAACAGG